UGAAAUAUAUAUAUAAGGGCAAAUCUUAACUAAAAUAUUUUCGGCCGUUUAUUUUGAGACUACUCAUUUACUAGACAAAUGUAAUUAAAAAAUUAUGACAUUUGAUUUUUAAAUAAUUCUAAUAACGUAGAUCAUGUCUAACGGAGCUGAUCAUCGAAUCAGAUGUCCUAUCACUGAAAACAACUUACAAGUGCGAAAAUCUCUAUACUUUCGAAAGCGUAAGAGGCGUACUCUCUCUCUCUCUCUCUCUCUCUCUCUCUCUCUCUCUCUCUCUCU
rnacentral:lncRNA from 1 species